CCUAUAUUACUUACAAUACAAAACUAUUAUUUGUAUAACCUUAUGUCUAAAUCAGUUUCAUUAUUCGAUACGAUUCAUGGGCAAAUCCUGUCAUUAGAGAAGAAGUUGUAAUUGUAACCCUUAUAAAUGCGUUUGGAUAACUUACAAAAACACUUAUGCAAAUUACUAGAUUCCGAUGAAAAUGACUUAAACUCAAGUGAGGACGAUGUAGUGAAAGAGUUACUUGAUGAUGGAGACAAAAACAAGGAGUUUUUUUAAAUCAAUAGAAGUUGCAUAAUUUUUUCACGUUUCAAGACCAAGGCGUACUUCAGUUUUAGCUACAUUUUUAGGGAAGAGAAUUGUAUAGUUGUGCAAAACAGGCUGGGUACAAAUACAUGAUGCUGUUCUUCAGUCCAGAAAUUGUAAAAGCACUUAUCAAAAUCAAUUGCAGUUAAAGCUUUAUAUUUUCUAACUAUCGUCUGCAACUUUGAAUUUUUCAUCGGACUCUAUUGUCUCAGUAAUAUUCUUUGCCUCACGGAGACACUAAGUAUAACUCUACAGAAGGAAACGAUUGAUCUUCCGAAAGCUUCAGAAAUAUAACAACGUUGACUGCAACACUUCUUUUGAAUGCCUUUUUUUUAAAUUAGACGUUGAAGUAAAGAAUUCUAGAACUUACGGUCGUCACAGUCAUCGCAACAUUUCAAAGCUGUGAAGAAAUACUGUAAGGUUUCAGAAUAUAUACCAUUCAUUGAAAUGACGACAGAAGAUUUUAAAGCACGGUUCUCAGUCUUGGAAAUAUUAAAUUUGAGUUUGCUUCAACCUAAACUAAAUAGAGAAAAUGCUGAAUUAAUUAACUGCUUUGUGCAUUUAGCCAGGAUUUUACAAAAUCACUUAGAAUAGCAAAAAAUUAAGUUUGAAGCGGAAUUGGAGCUGUGGCAACAAAAGUGGAAGAUUCACUGUUGAGUUCAGAACGCACUGGUUCCAUGGUUCCAUUAUAGCUAUAAUUAUAUUAUAUUUAUAUUUAUUAUAUUUAUAUAUUAAUAUAUUAUAUUUAUUAUAUUUUUAUAUUUAAACGGAUAAGUGAUGCGUAGGAUUAAGAAUGUCGAUAGAUCUUUGGAGCAUAUCAAAAAUUUGUACUAAAUACCACUUGUGGCCAGAGGCUACGUACCACUACGUAGUUGUUGAUCAUUGAGGGUGUUUUAAGUACAAUUUUAAAAAUGAAUUCCUGGCAGGUAAAUGGUAAAGAAUGUUGUUACUUCCAAGCAUUUGAAGUCAUUCUUCUUAUUCCUGAAAAGCCUUCAAUUGCCUGAAAGUAACAGGAAAUUACUUUAAAAAUUAGGCAAUCUUAGCUUUCAGGCCUUUGAAGUCACGGUUUUUUGACUUCUUGAAGACAUCAACUGUUUGGAAGUAAUUUUCUGUUACUUCCAGGCAGUUGAAGUCAUUCUUCUUAUUUUUAAAAGCCUUGAAUUGCCUGGAAGUAACAGGAAAUUACUUUAAAAAUUAGGCAAUUUUAGCUUUCAGGCCUUUGAAGUCACGGUUUUUUGACUUCUUGAAGACAUCGACUGUUUGGAAGUGAUUUUCUGUUACUUCCAGGCAGUUCAAGUCAUUCUUCUUAUUUUUAAAAGCCUUGAAUUGCCUGGAAGUAACAGGAAAUUACUUUAAAAAUUACGCAAUUUUAGCUUUCAGGCCUUUGAAGUCACGGUUUUUUGACUUCUUGAAGACAUCAACUGUUUGGAAGUCUUUUUCUGUUACUUCCAGGUAGUUGAAGUCAUGCUUCUUAUUUUUAAAAGCCUUGAAUUGCCUGGAAGUAACAGGAAAUUACUUUAAAAAUUAGGCAAUUUUAGCUUUCAGGCCUUUGAGGUCACAGUUUUCUGACUUCUUGAAGACAUCAACUGUUUGGAAGUCAUUUUCUGUUACUUUCAGGUAGUUGAAGUCAUUCUUCUUAUUUUUAAAAGCCUUGAAUUGCCUGGAAAUAACAGGAAAUUACUUUAAAAAUUAGGCAAUUUUAGCUUUCAGGCCUUUGAAGUCACGGUUUUUUGACUUCUUGAAGAGAUCAACUGUUUGGAAGUCAUUUUCUGUUACUUCCAGGCAGUUGAAGUCAUUCUUCUUAUUUUUAAAAGCCUUGAAUUGCCUGGAAGUAACAAAAAAUUACUUUAAAAAUUGGGCAAUUUUAGCUUUCAGGCCUUUGAGGUCACAGUUUUCUGACUUCUUGAAGACAUCAACUGUUUGGAAGUCAUUUUCUGUUACUUUCAGGUAGUUGAAGUCAUUCUUCUUAUUUUUAAAAGCCUUGAAUUGCCUGGAAAUAACAGGAAAUUACUUUAAAAAUUAGGCAAUUUUAGCUUUCAGGCCUUUGAAGUCACGGUUUUUUGACUUUUUGAAGAUAUCAACUGUUUGGAAGUAUUUUUCUGUUACUUCCAGGCAGUUGAAGUCAUUCUUCUUAUUUUUAAAAGCCUUGAAUUGCCUGGAAGUAACAGGAAAUUACUUUAAAAAUUACGCAAUUUUAGCUUUC
rnacentral:lncRNA from 1 species